AUUGAACGCUGGCGGCAGGCUUAACACAUGCAAGUCGAACGAGUGGCGGACGGGUGAGUAAUGCUUGGGAAUCUAGCUUAUGGAGGGGGAUAACUACGGGAAACUGUAGCUAAUACCGCGUACCAUAGGAUGAGCCCACGUGGGAUUAGGUAGUUGGUGGGGUAAUGGCCUACCAAGCCGACGAUCUCUAGCUGGUCUGAGAGGAUGCCCAGCCACACCGGGACUUAGACACGGCCAGGACUCCUACGGGAGGCAGCAGUGGGGAAUAGUGCGCAAUGGGGGCAACCUGACGCAGCCAUGCCGCGUGUAUGAAGAAGGCCUUCGGGUUGUAAAGUACUUUCGGUGACGAGGCGUUAAUCACAGAAGAAGCACCGGCUAACUCAGUGCCAGCAGCCGCGGUAAUUC
rnacentral:rRNA from 1 species